rnacentral:rRNA from 1 species
UACGGGGGGUGCGAGCGUUGUCCGGAAUCACUGGGCGUAAAGGGCGCGUAGGUGGCUUGGAAAGUCUGUGGUGAAAGCCCGGGGCUCAACCCCGGGUCUGCCGUGGAUACUCCCAAGCUCGAGCAUACUAGAGGCAGGUAGAAUUCCGGGUGUAGCGGUGGAAUGCGUAGAGAUCCGGAAGAACACCAAAGGCGAAGGCAGCGUCCUGGCGAGCAACUGACGCUCAUGUGCGAAAGCUAGGGGAGCGAACGGG